rnacentral:rRNA from 1 species
UAGGGAAUAUUGCGUAAUGGGCGAAAGCCUGACGCAGCAACGCCGUGUGUAGGAUGAAGCAUCUAGGUGCGUAAACUACUGUCAGCAGGGAAUAAAUUGACUGUACCUGCAGAGGAAGCACCGGCUAACUACGUGCCAGCAGCCGCGGUAAUACGUAGGGACCAAGCGUUGUUCGGAUUUACUGGGCGUAAAGGGCGCGUAGGCGGCAAUUCAAGUCAUCUGUGAAAUCUCCGGGCUUAACUCGGAACGGUCAGAUGAUACUGCUUUGCUAGAGUGCAGAAGGGGCAAUCGGAAUUCUUGGUGUAGCGGUGAAAUGCGUAGAUAUCAAGAGGAACACCUGAGGUGAAGACGGGUUGCUGGGCUGACACUGACGCUGAGGCGCGAAAGCCAGGGGAGCAAACGGGAUUAGAUACCCCAGUAGUCCCUGAGCGGGCUGGCAAGGCGCAU